AGUGAACGCUGGCGGUAGGCCUAACACAUGCAAGUCGAACGGCCGCACAGUAAGAGCUUGCUCUUACGGGUGGCGAGUGGCGGACGGGUGAGGAAUACAUCGGAUUCUACUUUUUCGUGGGGGAUAACGUAGGGAAACUUACGCUAAUACCGCAUACGACCUCCGGGUGAAAGCAGGGGAUCUUCGGACCUUGCGCGAUUGAAUGAGCCGAUGUCGGAUUAGCUAGUUGGCGGGGUAAAGGCCCACCAAGGCGACGAUCCGUAGCUGGUCUGAGAGGAUGACCAGCCACACUGGAAGUGAGACACGGUCCAGACUCCUACGGGAGGCAGCAGUGGGGAAUAUUAGGCAAUGGGCGCAAGCCUGAUCCAGCGAUACCGCGUGAGUGAUGAAGGACUUCGGGUGGUAAAGCCCUGUUGUUGGGAAAGAAAAGAAGUAGGUUAAUACGCGGCUGUUCUGACGGUACCCAAAGAAGAAGCACCGGCUAACUUCGUG
rnacentral:rRNA from 1 species